GAAAACUCCAUAUUAAAAUAAAAGGAAUGAUAGUCAGCUCGUGCAAAAAUCUGUGAAGGCUGGGGAGACAUGUUUAGCUUGUGAUCACUAAUUUUUGGGCUUUGUUUUUUACAGUCAUCAGUCCAAAUAUGAAGCAUCAACAUCUACACCACUGAAGCGCCAACUGUGUAUUUCUCCAACACCAGUGCCAGCUCUGUCUAGCAUUCAUGGAGAAUCAUCUGAAAGGGAUGAUAAUUUGGAGGAGGUGAUGGAACAAGGUGAAACUAAAAAAGAAGGAUCUUCACAAAUGAUAGAGUCAUCAGAUGACACAUGGUCACCAAACAGAGAACCAGAAGUUGAUUCGUCUUCAGAGGAGGGCGAAACCAUCGAGAUGGACAGCGGUACUGAUGACAGCGGUGAUGAGGACUACACACCUUAUUUACACAUAAGGUAAUUCUUUUUGUUUAACAUUCUAUAAAACUGCAAUAGCGCAUAGUUAAUAAAAAGCUUUUGUUCACAGGACUGGAGCAGCAUUACAAAAAACAUUACAACUUGAGACUCUGCAAGAAAUUAACAUAGAGGAUACAGUUCAUGACUGUAAUAUCCCAGAAGCAACUGACCGACGUUUGACAAGCAAGAAAGGUCUUCCUCAACGCUACAAGCUAAGGCCUGAGGAUCCAAGGCGUUAUGGUUUGCUGUCCGGAGUUCCUGCACCAUCAACAGAGGAACUUCUACAACACCUACGGACUUGCGGUGAUGGUAAAACUUUGCCACAGACAUAGGUGUUGGGGGAGGCAAGAGAAAACCCAAAACCUUCUUUAUUUUUGUUUCCUGUGUUUUUUUAUUUUUUAUUUUUUUGAAAAUAAAGAUAUAUUUUGGGGAAAUAAGGACUAAUAAUUUAAAA